rnacentral:rRNA from 1 species
CACGUAGGGCGCAAGCGUUGUCCGGAAUUAUUGGGCGUAAAGGGCUCGUAGGCGGCCAACUAAGUCGGACGUGAAAUCCCCAGGCUCAACCUGGGAACUGCGUCUGAUACUGGAUGGCUUGAAUCCGGGAGAGGGAUGCAGAAUUCCAGGUGUAGCGGUGAAAUGCGUAGAUAUCAGGAAGAACACCCGUGGCGAAGGCGGUUCUCUGGGACGGUACUGACGCUGAGACGCGAAAGCGUGGGGAGCGAACAGG